GCCUAGGCAUAUUAUAAGGCUCAUACAGCUCACUCUGGAUCAAAGGCCGAAGCUCUUUCCAUUCAUAAGCCACAUCUUAUACGGAGAUUGUUGCUUCGGUAACACUCCGCACACUAUCUGCCUCAGGAGCAUCUAGCAGAUUGGCUACCGCUUUAUCGACCAUUCCUGGAAAACGAAACGGCGAUGUCGGACGCAGUUGG
rnacentral:rRNA from 1 species